ACUCCUACGGGAGGCAGCAGUGGGGAAUCUUGCGCAAUGGGCGAAAGCCUGACGCAGCAACGCCGCGUGCGGGAAGAAGGCCUUUGGGUUGUAAACCGCUUUCAGCAGGGAAGAAACUGACGGUACCUGCAGAAGAAGGUCCGGCUAACUACGUGCCAGCAGCCGCGGUAAU
rnacentral:rRNA from 1 species